rnacentral:rRNA from 1 species
AACGCGAAGAACCUUACCGAGGCUUGACAUCCCUUGCAAGCCGUAGAAAUACGGUGUCCGUAGCAAUACGGCAAGGAGACAGGUGCUGCAUGGCUGUCGUCAGCUCGUGCCGUGAGGUGUUGGGUUAAGUCCCGCAACGAGCGCAACCCUCGUCGUGUGUUGGUCCGCGAGGAUCUCUCACGCGAGACCGCCGAUGAGAAGUCGGAGGAAGGUGGGGAUGACGUCAAGUCAGCAUGGCCCUUAUGUCUCGGGCUACACACGUGCUACAAUGGGUGCGACAACGAGUUCCAAGCUCGCGAGGGUAAGGCAAUCUCUUAAACGCAUCCUCAGUUCGGAUUGAAGGCUGCAACUCGCCUUCAUGAAGUCGGAAUCGCUAGUAAACGCAGAUCAGCUACGCUGCGUUGAAUACGUUCCCGGGCCUUGUA